ensembl:lncRNA
UCCUAUUGCACUGGUUCUCAGCUGGAAUUGGCCCCCAGCCUCCAGGGGACAUUUGGCCAUGUCUGGAGACAUUUUUGGUUGUCAUAACUUGAGGGAGUUGCUGCUGGCAUAUCUAGUGGGUAGAGGCUGAGGAUGCUCUUCAGCAUCCUUCAAUGCAUAGGACAUCCCUUCACAACAGAGAAUAAUCUGGCCCCAAAUGUCAGUAGUGCUGAAGUCAAGAAACCCUGCUCUAUUGUCUACUAGCUUAUGAAGUUACUUAAUUUGGCCAAGCCUCUGUUCCUUCAUUGAUGGAAUGCAAACGAUAAACAGUUCCUGGCCGGCGUGGUUGUUUUCAAAACAGAGCUCUUGUGACACAUAGCACAGCAUCAGGGACCUGGCAAACCCUCCAUAAAUAUAAACCUGGAUUUUCAUGGGAUUAAAAGUCAAUGGCAUAUGGCCGGGCGUGAUGGCUCAUGCCUGUAAUCUCAGCACUUUGGGAGGCUGAGGCGGGCAGAUCACCUGAGGUCAGGAGUUUGAGACUAUCCUGGCCAACUGGUGAAACCUCAUUUCUACUAAAAAUACAAAAAAAUAAAAAAUAAAAAACAAUUAGCUGGGCAUGGUGGCACACGCCUGUAAUCUCAUCUACUUGGGAGGCUGAGGAAGGAGAAUCACUUGAGCCCAGGAGGCGGAGGUUGCAGUGAGCUGAGAUUGCACCACUGAACUCCAGCCUGGGCGACAGAGUGAGGCUCCAUUCAAAAAAAAAGUCAGUGACAUAUAGGCGUAUAUUAACUGCUUCCAUAUCGUUUAAGUCUACUGGUAAUGGCAGGGACAUGAGGAUGAUGGUGAUGUGUUUGAUUUUUACAGGACCUUGCCGUGCCUCUGAGGUCUUCCCUCAAGCCUGCACUUCCUGAUGGAACCCUGUCCCUCACAUGACUCCACUUCAAGGUGAUGUUCAAAGUCACUGUCAACGUUGAAAAAGGAACAGACGUGUCCCUGGAGAUGGUGAUUGUGGACCGCGGGUCUGCUAGUGCUGAGAAUCAAAGGCAGCUGUCUGCCCCUGGCUUUUCCUCUCCGCUGGUUUUCUGAAAGCUGUCUCCACCAUGAGCAGUCAUUGGGACUGACUUCCCCGGAGGGUUGGAUUCCAAAUCCACAAUAUAGCCUGGGCAUCUUCCACACUCAGCCCUCUGCUUCCCCUCCUGCCUUGCAUCAGAAAUAUUCUCUGGUCCAUCCACACCAAGCAAGAACGGUGAGUAGCAUGUUUACUAUGGGCCAGCUAAGCAUUUUACACACAUUUUCUCCUUCAUUCAAACUACCAGGAGUGCCUUCAAAACAGAUGUGAACAUUUUUGCCUUUGAGCUUGAAAGUUCUCCAGGUUCCCUUUCUCAAUCACUCCUUCUCAGCCCUCAAAACCCAGUUCAGGCAGACUGUCCUCUGUUAAGCAGUUAAGAGUAUAAACCCUGAAUCCAGUUGCCUAUCUAGGUUUGCAUCCUCCUCUGCCUCUUGCUUGCUGUGUGUUCUUGAGCAGGUUGCUUCGCUUCUCUGUGCAUCAGUUUCCUUUUAAAAAAUGGGAUGAUGAUAAUAUUUACCUCACAGCAUUGAAGAUUAAAUGAGAUAAUGAGAGUGUGUGAAAUAGUACUUGGCACAUAAUAGGUGUCCAAUGAGUGUUAACUAUUACUACUAUUAUUUGACUUUCUUUGACCUCUCCCCUAUCACCAUCCUAUCACACUUGCUAGGAACUGGGUCUCACAGGGUAUUUCUGGAUUUAUUAGGAGGCGUUCAUAAGUGUUUGUGGAAAGAAAGAACGUGAUAUAGAUAUGUAGUAGCCACAUUUUAUAGGAUUGGUUGCUAAACUCAGCAAGCAAACAAACAAACAAAACAACCCAACCCCAAACAAACUUCUGAGCUCCAUGUAAAUAGAUUCUGCUGCCACUGAGGAAAUUCUGUUAUGGUUUUCCUGGGCAGAUUGAGAUUGUAGAUAGUGUUUGGGGCCUUUUAAGAAUCUAGGCUAAUAAGGGGUCUUGGCUAAUAAUAAGGAAGGAGAUCAGGCUUGGGAACUCCACCCUGGGCAGCUCUGAAAUGACUGGCCCUGGAGCUGGCCGAACUCCGGAAGUCCAGGUUCAUUAGUUCUGUCUGCCCAGCAAUGAUGGCAGCAGUAGGAAUAAUAAUCUCUCGUAUUUACAGAGGGCUUUACUCGUUCUCGUUUCCCAUUUCCGCCCUGUCUUGCUCUGUGCAGCCAAUGCAUGAUGGAGGUUAUAGUAUUACAGCUCUGUCCUGGCUGGUUGUCUGACUUGGCCAACCCUCUUCACUUGCUUGAGCCUCAUUUUCCUAAUUUAUAAAAUGGAGGCUGAUACUGCUUAUCUUCUGGGUUGUUGUAAAAAGUGAGGUUUAGAUCAGAAGAGGCAUAGAGUUGGUAGUGGGCUGUUAAAUCAGCUCUUUGAAACAAAAGCCCUGUUGUGUAGUGUUUGUCAAUUUCCAAGGUAUACACACUCCUUCCAUGGUGGAUUCCAAGCAGUCUGUGUCACAUCACUGAGUAGAUUUGGGAAGAGACAUGUGCCAUCUACUUUUCUGUGCAGCUGUGAGCUGGCUCCAGCACAUUCCGUUAAACCUCUUACACGAACUCUGCUUUAUUAGUCAGGGGCUUCCCGACAUGGUGUUGAGAAAGAUUCUGAGGCUGUGUCUGGGAACAGAGGAAGGGGGUAAUUAAAUUCAUUAUGGCUGUCUGCCACGGAUGAGGGAGGAGAGAUGGCACAUAUAUGUAGCGACUUAUUAUCCCUGGAUUUAUGAGACUGUAUGCAAAGGUCCUUUCAGGGUUUGACACCCAGAAGACAUUCAACCAAUGGUAUAUAUUGCAACUGGGCAAGGAGACAAGGAUCAUUUCUUGUUUUUCUUACAUUGACACUUGCUGAGCACAGAUAGCAAUGAACUGUACCAAGAGUUGAUAAGUGCUACAGAAGCAUAAGGCAGUGUGGUAUACAGGACAAAAGUUGGGCUUUAUGACCUGGGCUGAUAUUCUAGCCCAUUAGUCAUGCGACCUUGGGAAAAAUGGCUCAUCCUCUCUGAUACUCAGUUUUCUCACCUGCAAAAAGGAGACAUUACUGGGGAGAUUGAAUAUUACAUGCAUUAAAAUGAAGCGUGGGACCUAUUGCUGGUGUGUUUCGUCAGUGGCGGUUUCCUUUCCCCUGUUCACUUCGAAGCUGCAAGUGGAUUGUUGACCCGCGGCCAACUCAGCACCAUAAACCCUGAAAAUCCUCGGAGUGAUUUCCAAGCAGCAGUAAAACUCAAAAUCACUCACACCACUUCUCGUCCCACUUAAAAAUUUCCCUGAGUUAUUCUUUUCCUUUUG